GGGAGCCGGAUGAGCCGAGAGGUUCACGUCCGGUUCUGAGAGGGCCUUGGGGUGAAAUUCCCCAGGGCUACUUACC
rfam:Syntrophomonas wolfei subsp. wolfei str. Goettingen, complete genome.